UCUCAGUUCGGAUCGGAGUCUGCAACCCGACUCCGUGAAGCUGGAUUCGCUAGUAAUCGCGCAUCAGCCAUGGCGCGGUGAAUACGUUCCCGGGUCUUGUACACACCGCCCGUCACACCAUGGGAGUCGGAAAUGCCCGAAGUCAGUGACCCAACCGUAAGGAGGGAGCUGCCGAAGGUGGAGCCGGUAACUGGGGUGAAGUCGUAACAAGGUAAC
rnacentral:rRNA from 1 species